AAAAUAUAGGCCUUUUAUUACUCUCUCAAGCCUCCAUAUCUUCCACGCUAGAAAACCCACAAAUCUUCAUCUCAUAUAUGGAAGACCUAACCCUCAUGCCAUUACGACAAAGUCCGGCUACUUGAAAUAUCAUGGAACCAAACCCAGACUGCCUCCAUCUUUUUUUACCUUAUUCCUUCGGCUUCAAGCCCGUGAUUUAUUUGAAGCUUUCCAAGUCACCAACUUGAGAGUAGGAAGACGCCCAGUUCUCUUUGGAAGGCAAGAAUGUAAAAAGGGGGGUUUAUCAGGACCUGCGAAAGCAAAAGAAAGGAGCAUCAAAGUAAAGUGUUAAGAAGCUUUUCGAAUAAGAAGCCAGAUUGGACCCAUUGUAACAGAUCUUUCUUUCACCACUGAAAGUUGGGAAUAUUAGAAGAAGCAUCACUGAAGAUCUCCUCAACAGUCCGGAGCAACAAAUCACGGGUUGACUGAACUAUCCACCUCCAUGCAUGAUAAUCUCUUCGAAUCAAAAGGAGUUUUCCUGCGUUGACGAGCCUUAGCCCUUUUCUUCAUAUCCAUCCGUUUCUGUAAGUUGAUAUCUCUGCCAAAUUCAUCUAACUUCACUGGUAGAUUUGCUUGAUCUUUCAAGGCAACUAAUGCAGCUGCUGCAGCACUUUUCUUGAAGUGAACAGGCAGAGUGAAUUAAUUCCCUCUGCACUGUUCACUUGAACAGUGCAGAACAGUGCAGAGUGAAUCACUCUGCACAAACGCUAAGGAAAAAGCAGAUAAAUGUUGCUUUCAGCGAACCGGCGUUUGAAACGUUAAUUCUGGUGGGUCCUACGCAUAGUAAACAACGUUUCUCAUUUUACCAAACGAUAUGUUUCCGUGGUUUGCUUCAAACGCAGAAGCAACCACAGAAACAAACACUCUCUAAAUGUCUUCUUGUUUUUUUACACUGUACGUUAGUAAGGUCCUUUGUUUUUAAACAUGGAGGGCAUGUCCUCCUCCCUAGUCCUUGUAAAGACAUGGAAACUCGAUAAAAGCAUUAAUUGUGCAUUCCUUUGGUAUAA